rnacentral:rRNA from 1 species
CCUACGGGUGGCAGCAGUGAGGAAUAUUGGUCAAUGGACGCAAGUCUGAACCAGCCAUGCCGCGUGCAGGAAGACGGCUCUAUGAGCUGUAAACUGCUUUUGUACGAGGGUAAACGCAGAUACGCGUAUCUGUCUGAAAGUAUCGUACGAAUAAGGAUCGGCCAACUCCGUGCCAGCAGCCGCGGUAAUACGGAGGAAUCAAGCGUUAUCCGGAUUUAUUGGGGUUAAAGGGUGCGUAGGCGGUCGGAGAAGUUAGAGGUGAAAGCCCGGGGCUCAACUUCGGAAUUGCCUCUGAUACUGUUCGGCUAGAGAGUAGUUGCGGUAGGCGGAAUGUAUGGUGUAGCGGUGAAAUGCUUAGAGAUCAUACAGAACACCGAUUGCGAAGGCAGCUUACCAAGCUACUUCUGACGUUGAGGCACGAAAGCGUGGGGAGCAAACAGGAUUAGAUACCCCUGUAGUC